UACGGAGGGUGCAAGCGUUAUCCGGAUUCACUGGGUUUAAAGGGUGCGUAGGCGGGCAGGUAAGUCCGUGGUGAAAAUCUCUGAGCUUAACUCAGAAACUGCCAUGGAUACUAUUUGUCUUGAAUGUUGUGGAGGUAAGCGGAAUAUGUCAUGUAGCGGUGAAAUGCUUAGAUAUGACAUAGAACACCAAUUGCGAAGGCAGCUUACUACACAAAUAUUGACGCUGAGGCACGAAAGCGUGGGGAUCAAACAGG
rnacentral:rRNA from 1 species